GUGGUGCGCGAUCUGGGCGAUUUGGAGGCGAGGCGACAAAGUUGACUAGGACGUCGACGGAAAUCUUCAUCGUGCCGCUUGGAGAGGUGCUCGUCCGGCUCGUCGACGAUCCCCUCUUCUCGACGGAUCCGCGAUGGAGGUGCUCGAGGAGGAGCUUCUUCUCUGGAUGCCAUGGAGAUCGUCAAGGUGCUCCCCCACUCCCCCUCCCUCUGUCUGGGUAUUUGUACUGACCGCCUCCGUCCUCGCAGCGCCUGAGAUCACCGGCCCGAGCAAGGUGCCACCGAGCACUGCUCCUAGGUCCUCGCAGCUAAGACACAUACCCUCUACAGUUAGAUUGGUACAAUGAUCUCUGACUUGGUGACUUGUGCUACAUCUGAAUUUUGCAAGUAAUUGAAAAUCUGAUCUCUCCUGUUGUACUGCGAGCUAGAAAGGUGGGUAUCUUAAUUCAGAAUGUUAUUAGAAUCUUAUGGACUGCCAUUUACUUGCACAACAUAUGCAGUCAUCUUAUUUGAUCCUUCACUGUCAUAUCACGUCAGGCUGGGGGAAUUGUAACAGGAAAAAACCUGGGUUGUCUCUCCUGAUUGCAAUGAUUUUAGCCCACAAUUUUCAUUUGAUUGAUGUUCUGAAGUAGCUUACUCAAGUCCAGGUUCUCCAAUGAUGUGCAGAACUCUUGCAGGCACCUUUGUAAUUGCAAAAAUUAAGACAAGCUAUGAAGGGACCUUUUCUUGAUCCCUUCAUAGCUUGUCUUAAGUUUUGUUAUGAAUCUGUUCUUGCACUAAUAUCAUAUCAUCCUAAAUGUGAAACCCAGCUACAUGAACUAAAAUUUCUCAUAUCGAAAGAGUCGAGAAGGGAAGCUACUCAAUAUUAUGUUAGGCACUUUGUCAUGGUUCGUCCUCAGAAGCUUCUAUACAUCGCCAUUGGUAGCUGGUACGCAUUUCGGAUCUUUGUUAUGGAGGGAAUUCUCUCGCUGAUCUUUUCCAUUUGAUGUAAUUCAUAUGGUCAUAUACUCUGGUUUAGUGGUUGAAAUUAGGACUGCUAAAUAUACUUAACUCGGUUACUCAUUAGGAGUGCCAAAUAUACUUUAUCAUGCAGAACUUCUUGCCAUAAUACAACUAUGUAAUAUAUAUACGAUAAUAUGAUAGUUCGUCCUGAUGUUUACACUCGCAUGAUGGUUUCCUUUAGUGUUGUAAUUGAAGUUAUCAUCAGUGUCUUGGUUAUACUGAAGUUUGCCAUCUUUCUGAAAUAUAUGCAGUUGACUGUUGCAAGGACACGAACCAUAUCACAGUUGCAAGAGAGAAUUCGAUAUUAUCAUCGGGUUUGAAGGAAAGAUGUUGCAUGGCCCUCUUGUUUCAAUUGUGUCCUGGUAGUGAUUUAGAGGGCACUGACAUCAAAGGUAAUGAAUCUCCAUUUUGGUUUUUGGUAUUCUUCUCAGGUAUAUAAUAAAUUGUUCGGUUCCUCCAAUUUUCUUCUUGUUAUUUUUCUGAACACAGUCGCCCCUUCCCCAGUUCUGUAAGGAUGUGCGGUUUCUGUUGAUGACCUCGUGGUUGAUUGCAGCUUGACGGAACACAGUUUCAUCAAUAAAUAUGUCCGUGUUGCUACCCUGAGAGUUAGCUUGUUUGGUAGUUGACUCAUGAUAGUUCUUUUCCUUUUAAACUGUUUUUUGAUCAGUAGUUGAUAAACCAUGUGCAAGAUUGGGAGAUUAAAUAAAGAGCUAGGCUGAGGUUUCACCGCUCAGCCUAUCAGUUUGUGUUUGGCUGACAGAAACAAUAUUGUUUGGUUUAUACAAUGAUUACCUGACAAGUUCAUCUUCCUCUUUGCAAAUAUUACAUAAUAAGUAAUGGGACUGCUAUAUUUAAUUCUUUCAUGGCAAUCAGGCUAGGCACAUACAAGAGCGCACACCUCCGCCUUAGGAGUAAGAGGCGUGUGACAUGUGUUUUAGUUUCUAAUAGAAACACAAAAUAUGUCUAUUUCGCUCGUUAGAUAAUUGUUUUUCAUUGUGUGCGCGCGUUGCACACUCAUGUCAUGACCGUGAAUGGAAAUGCACAAAGCAAAUGCAUUAUGACCCGAUGUUGUAAUUUAUAGCACCUAUUGGUCUGGUAAGAUAUGCGUUGUUGCAAAUACAGAAAUCCAACACAAUAAUGUGCGGGAGAAUAGCGCCUCCUUGCGCAUUCCACCUCAUCGUUUUUUACUGUGCUAGCGAGAGAGAGAAAAACUGAGAGGGUAAAAAGGGGUGGACACUACCUAGCGGGGACGCAAUUGGGCGAGAGGAGGAGGCGCUUCUCCUGCUAGAUCCGUGGCCAUCACGUCGCCAUCGACAUCCACCCUCCUCAACAGAUCGAUCGACCGGACGUCGCCGUGAUGUCUCUCUUUGUUGCGGAUUCAUGUGUGUUGUAUGUUCAAUCCAACCCUUACUGCAGGGCCUAGCGAAGGGAAUGAAGAGGCACACCCUCAGCCACGACUCUGUCCUUCAGCUACAAAAGCUAGAUAGAUUGUAAUCAGUUGCGUG
rnacentral:lncRNA from 1 species